CGGAAUCUGCCUAUUUGUGGGGGAUAACGUAGGGAAACUUACGCUAAUACCGCAUACGACCUACGGGUGAAAGCGGAGAACCUUCGGGCUUCGCGCAGAUAGAUGAGCCGAUGUCGGAUUAGCUAGUUGGCGGGGUAAAGGCCCACCAAGGCGACGAUCCGUAGCUGGUCUGAGAGGAUGAUCAGCCACACUGGAACUGAGACACGGUCCAGACUCCUACGGGAGGCAGCAGUGGGGAAUAUUGGACAAUGGGCGCAAGCCUGAUCCAGCCAUGCCGCGUGGGUGAAGAAGGCCUUCGGGUUGUAAAGCCCUUUUGUUGGGAAAGAAAAGCAGUCGGUUAAUACCCGAUUGUUCUGACGGUACCCAAAGAAUAAGCACCGGCUAACUUCGUGCCAGCAGCCGCGGUAAUACGAAGGGUGCAAGCGUUACUCGGAAUUACUGGGCGUAAAGCGUGCGUAGGUGGUUUGUUAAGUCUGAUGUGAAAGCCCUGGGCUCAACCUGGGAAUUGCAUUGGAUACUGGCAGGCUAGAGUGCGGUAGAGGGUAGUGGAAUUCCCGGU
rnacentral:rRNA from 1 species